CAGAGAUGUAAAAGUGCUAGUUUACUAGAGCUUCAUACCAGGUGCUGCACGGCUGUCGUCAGCUCGUGUCGUGAGAUGUUAGGUUAAGUCCCUGCAACGAGCGCAACCCUCGUGUUUAGUCACUAACAGAUUAUGCUGAGGACUCUAGACAUACUGCCUGGGCAACCAGGAGGAAGGUGAGGACGACGUCAAGUCAUCAUGGCCCUUACGGCCAGGGCUACACACGUGCUACAAUGGGGUAUACAAAGAGCAGCGAUACCGCGAGGUGGAGCAAAUCUCAUAAAAUAUCUCCCAGUUCGGAUUACACUCUGCAACUCGAGUGUAUGAAGUUGGAAUCGCUAGUAAUCGUAGAUCAGCAAUGCUACGGUGAAUACGUUCCCGGGUCUUGUACUCACCGCCC
rnacentral:rRNA from 1 species